AGAACGAACGCUGGCGGCAGGCUUAACACAUGCAAGUCGAACGCCCCGCAAGGGGAGUGGCAGACGGGUGAGUAACGCGUGGGAAUCUACCCAAUUCUACGGAACAACUGAGGGAAACUUCAGCUAAUACCGUAUACGCCCUACGGGGGAAAGAUUUAUCGGAGUUGGAUGAGCCCGCGUUGGAUUAGCUAGUUGGUGGGGUAAUGGCCUACCAAGGCGACGAUCCAUAGCUGGUCUGAGAGGAUGAUCAGCCACACUGGGACUGAGACACGGCCCAGACUCCGUACGGGAGCAGCAGUGGGGAAUAUUGGACAAUGGGCGCAAGCCUGAUCCAGCAUGCCGCGUGAGUGAGUGAAGGUCCUUAGGGUUGUAAAGUCUACUUUCGAGGUAGGGGAAGAGUAAGUCGAACGGUAACCCACAGGAAGAACGCCCCGGACUAACGUUCGU
rnacentral:rRNA from 1 species